rnacentral:lncRNA from 1 species
GUGCUGCUCAAUUCACAUCAUCUUUCCUGAUUUAUUCUUUCAAACACUAUACCUAUUGCUCUGGACUGCAGCUGGAAUUAGAAAAGAAAUUUAUUUCCAUGAAUGGAGAAGUGUCAGAGUGAGCAGGCACACAACAGCUGAAACAUGAAAAUAGGCUCACUAGAAUAACAUCGAAGCAAAAUGACUGUCAGAGACUUUAGAAGAUAAACCAACCAACCGAACAUAAAGAAGUUACAUGUGCUAUUAGUACAGAAGCUUCCAGAUGAAUGCAAAAAUCAAAGCCUUCAAGGAGCUGAUGUUAUUUUCUACAAAUAAUUUGGAGUACACUGAGACAGAUGUGCAACGUAGCAGUGAGGGGCAGGAACCUUGGUUCUAUUCCAGCUUUGCCUCCUGCAAAAUGUCUCAUCCUGGACCUCUGUGACUUUCUAGGGCAGGAGCCUUGUGUAUCUUCUGGUCCAGCACACAGGAAGCACCAAUAAGAAGGAGCUUGAGGUAGGUUUGGAAAAGCUGAGAGAUGAGCGGCAGUGGCAUGUAAGUACAUCUAAUAUUCUUAUUUUAUUAUCCUGGGACUUUGGUACAGUGCUGAUUAGGUCCCUUUUUGCUCUAAAAAUUCUCCCCUUCUGGGGUGGUAGGGGUGG